GGCGUGGUGAUGGCCCGGGUUGGAGCCGCCGCCGCUGCCGCCGCCGCUGCCGCCGCCGCCUCAGAAGCAGGAACCGAAGUCGUCGCCGCCGCCACUGCCUGGGUCUCCGGCCGCCCGCGCGCUGCCUCGGUCGGGGCCCGCAGCCAUGGAGGAUUUCAUCGUGAUCUCGGACGACAGCGGCUCUGAGAGCUCCGGGGCGCCCGCCCGGGCCGGUCGCGGAGGCUGCGCCGGGCCCUGUCGCGAACCCCGGCGCGCUGCCCCGCCGGACCGUGAACAAGGGUCAAAAAUUAGAACCCAUCCCUCAUCGAAGACUAAGAAUGGUAACAAAUACCAUUGAAGAGAAUUUUCCCCUGGGGACUGUGCAGUUUUUGAUGGACUUUGUGUCACCCCAGCAUUACCCACCAAGAGAAAUCGUGGCUCACAUCAUCCAGAAAAUCUUGCUCAGUGGCUCUGAGACUGUGGAUGUCCUAAAGGAGGCCUACAUGCUUCUCAUGAAAAUUCAGCAGCUACAUCCAGCCAAUGCCAAGACAGUGGAGUGGGACUGGAAACUGCUCACCUAUGUCAUGGAGGAAGAGGUAACAACAAUUAUAAGAUUAUAUCUUCUGUAGGGGAAGUUUUAACUAUAAACAAAAGUGAUACCAGGUGCCAUGGCUCACACCUGUAAUCCCAGCAUUUUGGGAGGCCGAAGCAGGAGGACAGUUUGAGCCCAGGAGUUCAAGGCCAGCCUGGGCAACAAAGUGAGACCCUGUCUCUACAAAAAUAAAAAUAAAAUAUUUAGCCGGGCAUAGUGAUGCAUGCCUGUGGUCCCAGCUACACAGAAGGCUGAGGCAGGAGGAUUGCUUGAGCCUAGGAGGUCAAGGCUAUAGUGAUCCGUGAUCACAACACUGUACUCCGGCCUGGGUGACAGAGCAAGACCCUAUCUUAA
rnacentral:sRNA from 1 species